AGUCCUGUAGCUCAGUGGUUAGAGCACUUGCCUCAUAAGCGAGAGUAUCUGGGUUCGAUUCCCAGGCGAGUCAGGGCGA